CUAAGAGGAGCAAGCAGAAGGGGACGGCAGGAACCAAGAAAUUUAAGGAGGGGAGAGCCAACUCAGAGAAGUGGCCAGAAAAAAGCCCGCUGAGCUUCUCUAAGAAAGCCGGAGACUCGUGUGUGUCCAGCAGAUAGACAGACGUUCCCCAUACGGAUGAAAACAAAUUAUUUGUCAUUCUGAAAUGACUCUGAAAGGGGGAAUGGAAUGUGCCCCAACAAUCAAUAUUAAAUUUUAUGCCUGCUGCACCUUUCAAAAGCCUCAAGAAGACAUUGAUUCAAUUUGCUGGAAGCAUGGAAGCCCAAAGUAGACUGCCCAGAGAAGAUGCUGCCAGAAAAUAAAGGGGAACCCCAGGCUGCAGGACGGCUCCGGCGGGGUCCUCAUAUUGAAGAAAUGAAAAAAAGAAGAAGAAGAAGAAGAAGAAGAAGAAGAAGAAAUGACAGGAAAGCUACAUUUAUUCUGGAGAGAGAUAGUU